GAUGAACGCUGACAGAAUGCUUAACACAUGCAAGUCCACUUGAAUUUGGGUUUUUAACUUAGGUUUGGGUGGCGGACGGGUGAGUAACGCGUAAAGAACUUGCCUCACAGCUAGGGACAACAUUUGGAAACGAAUGCUAAUACCUAAUAUUAUGAUAAUAGGGCAUCCUAUAAUUAUGAAAGCUAUAAGCGCUGUGAGAGAGCUUUGCGUCCCAUUAGCUAGUUGGAGAGGUAACGGCUCACCAAGGCGAUGAUGGGUAGCCGGCCUGAGAGGGUGAUCGGCCACAAGGGGAAGGAGACACGGCCCUUACUCCUACGGGAGGCAGCAGUGGGGAAUAUUGGACAAUGGACCAAGAGUCUGAUCCAGCAAUUCUGUGUGCACGAUGAAGUUUUUCGGAAUGUAAAGUGCUUUCAGUUGGGAAGAAAGAAAUGACGGUACCAACAGAAGAAGUGACGGCUAAAUACGUG
rnacentral:rRNA from 1 species